AGGUGUUGUUGGGUAGGGGAGCGUUCUGUAAGCCUGUGAAGGUGGCCUGUGAGGGUUGCUGGAGGUAUCAGAAGUGCGAAUGCUGACAUAAGUAACGAUAAAGCGGGUGAAAAGCCCGCUCGCCGGAAGACCAAGGGUUCCUGUCCAACGUUAAUCGGGGCAGGGUGAGUCGACCCCUAAGGCGAGGCCGAAAGGCGUAGUCGAUGGGAAACGGGUUAAUAUUCCCGUACUUGGUGUUACUGCGAAGGGGGGACGGAGAAGGCUAUGUUGGCCGGGCGACGGUUGUCCCGGUUUAAGCGUGUAGGUGUGUGUUCCAGGUAAAUCCGGUUCACUUUAACACUGAGGCGUGACGACGAGGCACUACGGUGCUGAAGCAACAAAUGCCCUGCUUCCAGGAAAAGCCUCUAAGCAUCAGGUAACAUCAAAUCGUACCCCAAACCGACACAGGUGGUCAGGUAGAGAAUACCAAGGCGCUUGAGAGAACUCGGGUGAAGGAACUAGGCAAAAUGGUGCCGUAACUUCGGGAGAAGGCACACUGACACGUAGGUGAAGUGAUUUACUCAUGGAGCUGAAGUCAGUCGAAGAUACCAGCUGGCUGCAACUGUUUAUUAAAAACACAGCACUGUGCAAACACGAAAGUGGACGUAUACGGUGUGACGCCUGCCCGGUGCCGGAAGGUUAAUUGAUGGGGUCAGCGCAAGCGAAGCUCCUGAUCGAAGCCCCGGUAAACGGCGGCCGUAACUAUAACGGUCCUAAGGUAGCGAAAUUCCUUGUCGGGUAAGUUCCGACCUGCACGAAUGGCGUAAUGAUGGCCAGGCUGUCUCCACCCGAGACUCAGUGAAAUUGAACUCGCUGUGAAGAUGCAGUGUACCCGCGGCAAGACGGAAAGACCCCGUGAACCUUUACUAUAGCUUGACACUGAACAUUGAGCCUUGAUGUGUAGGAUAGGUGGGAGGCUUUGAAGUGUGGACGCCAGUCUGCAUGGAGCCGACCUUGAAAUACCACCCUUUAAUGUUU
rnacentral:rRNA from 2 species